CACCUAAAUUAAGCAAUAUACUACCACUACCCAAAUUUACCCUUCCCCAUUUCAGCCUAUUCAUUUCUGGGUUUCACCGAACGGGAAAACACUUCGAUCCUUCAUCUAUUUCUCCGAUCGUCCUUCUUUCUCUCACAUUCUUAGCUAGUUCUAGGAUUUCAUUAUUGUAUUAAUUUAACUUCCACCUUUUUUUAGCUAUUUGGCACGAUUCAAAGGCAUCCUUAAAUUAGACAAAUUGGGGUUUACAACCUAGAUAAGUAUUUUUCGUUUUUUGUUCUUAAAUGUAGUAGGCUAAUUUUUUUUUUUCGAAUGUAGAUGAUUUUCUGCUUCUUAUCGGUUAUUGCUAGCAAUUGUUGUAUUACAUAGUUUCAGUUCGUAAAUUUGGAUUUUUUUAAAUAUUUAUCUUAUGUCCGAUUCCUCUUGCAUGUUGUUCUAUUGUUGAUUUUGUGAUUUAUCUACAUUAUUUUGUAGUAAUAUUUAAGUUUGUAUUUGAAUUUCAAUUCCUCAAAUACUGAUCUGUAUUUUGUGCAGAAAUUUAUGUUUUCUUAGAUCCUUUUAACACUCUUUGUAAUAUUUCCUUUAUCUAGGUUGGGAAUUCAAAAUUAGAUAAGUAUUUUCCUAAAUUUUUGUAUCAUAACACUAAUAGCUGUUCCAUAAUUUGUAAUCUAGAAGUUCCGCUGCUUAUUUGUUUUUAUUACGAAUUUAUGUACUACCCAGGAUCUAACUAUGGUUGUUGCAUAUUUGCUAUGAAAAGCCAGUCACAUUCACUUAGACCUACUCUGAUUCUGAAAAUGCAUUCACAGUGUAAUGCUGUGCAUUGGUAAAAGUUUUAGACAGUGACACUAUUUUUAAAUUACAGCUCUAGUAUUGCGCAUAGGUAAUUUAUUAUUCAAUAGCUUACCUUACAAAUUUAAGUCUGAUAUGAUCUUUAGCUUGAUAUCUGACAACACUGUAAUAAACCACUCUUGCAGGUGAAGGUACAGUUUGUUAUCAUUCAAUAUUCAAAUGUAUGGAAGAACAACCUUCAUUCCUCACACUUAGCAUUCUGCUCAGGGGUAUAAUGUGGAAAGAGACGUACCUGUUCAUCAUGGAAGACAAUCUCUUGGAUUUGAUAUCAGUUGAACCUUUCCUCUCCAUCACCAAGUAUGUACAUACAAUCCUUACCUUGACAGUGCUCCUAUUUUUUGAAGGUUGAUAAAUCACUUGUAAGAACGUACACCCCUCUAUUGGAAGACCACUAUUUAGGUCUGAUAAAUUUGUAGUUCUGCGAUUGUUUGUAUUCACUUAUUAAACCUGUAUUAUAUAGGCCUGAGUUUGUAGAUAGGCCAAGAGUUUCAGACCUAAAUGGUCUCUUCAAGACUCUUAAUUACCGGAGUUUUGAAUGUUGUCUUCAAGAAUCGAAUCGAUCCAUUCAUUAAACAAAAAAUGUGCUGCUUCAUUAA